AGUGGAGAACAGAAGCUUUGGCUUUGGCUUUGGUUGGCCAAGUUUCCUUCUCCAUCC
rnacentral:pre_miRNA from 1 species